UGUCAGAGUAUCAGGCAUCAGAGAAACGAACGCCAGUGGAGCCGACGACACGGGAAAGGAAGGACUCGCUGCCUGCCACGAGAGGAGAGGACACGAGGGAGGGACAAGCUGUGCACAGUGCACAGCAGACAAGGUGAAGGAAGGCUGGUGGCGCUGUCCAAAUUUCACAGGACGAGACGGUGUGAAGGAAUUAAUAUAUCGCUCACCACACCAUACACCGCUCAUCCCGUCACUGGUCCCGCCUGAAUUAACGGGAGUCUUGAGAGUAGCAACAACCCCGCUGACUUUGCAGCGACUGCCUGCCUAGUGUCGUCUACUAAAGUCAGGGAAAUAAAUAACAGGAGACAGUUAACGGAGGUUGCUCGGCCUUGAGCAGAAGCGGUAGAAGUGGGGCAGCCUCGGUGGUGACUGCGCUUGAGACACCUGCAGAAUUCAGAUACUUGUGUUACAUACUAAAAAUAGAG